UGUGCACAUGUUACCAACUUCUUCAGAGCUCUUUGUUGGUUUGACUUCUUUUGAAGAGUCAAAGCAGUUUUACCAUAGAACGAGGAAUUACCAGACAAACUGUCAUGUCCCUUGAGACUAGUUCGAACUAUUGAAGCAGGUGAGAUGAUGGUUGUUGUAGCCAUGAGUAGUGAUUGAAGAGAAAGAUCAAGAGUGAAAUGGGGUUAAGAAGCAGACAGCCAAGCAGUGGAGGAUAUAACACAAAAGAGUUGGUGAUGAAGG
rnacentral:lncRNA from 1 species